rnacentral:rRNA from 1 species
UACGAAGGGGGCUAGCGUUGCUCGGAAUCACUGGGCGUAAAGGGUGCGUAGGCGGGUUUUUAAGUCAGGGGUGAAAUCCUGGAGCUCAACUCCAGAACUGCCUUUGAUACUGAAGAUCUUGAGUUCGGGAGAGGUGAGUGGAACUGCGAGUGUAGAGGUGAAAUUCGUAGAUAUUCGCAAGAACACCAGUGGCGAAGGCGGCUCACUGGCUCGGUACUGACGCUGAGGUGCGAAAGCGUGGGGAGCAAACAGG